rnacentral:rRNA from 1 species
UACGUAGGGGGCAAGCGUUGUCCGGAUUUACUGGGCGUAAAGAGUUUGUAGGCGGCAAUGCAUGUCUGAAGUGAAAGGCAGAGGCUUAACCUCUGUUAGCUUCGGAAACUGCAUAGCUUGAGUACAGGAGAGGUAAGUGGAAUUCCUAGUGUAGCGGUGAAAUGCGCAGAUAUUAGGAGGAACACCGGUGGCGAAGGCGACUUACUGGACUGUAACUGACGCUGAGAAACGAAAGCGUGGGGAGCAAACA